rnacentral:rRNA from 1 species
GACGAACGCUGGCGGCGUGCUUAACACAUGCAAGUCGAACGGAAAGGCCCUGCUUUUGUGGGGUGCUCGAGUGGCGAACGGGUGAGUAACACGUGAGUAACCUGCCCUUGACUUUGGGAUAACUUCAGGAAACUGGGGCUAAUACCGGAUAGGAGCUCCUGCUGCAUGGUGGGGGUUGGAAAGUUUCGGCGGUUGGGGAUGGACUCGCGGCUUAUCAGCUUGUUGGUGGGGUAGUGGCUUACCAAGGCUUUGACGGGUAGCCGGCCUGAGAGGGUGACCGGCCACAUUGGGACUAAGAUACGGCCCAGACUCCUACGGGAGGCAGCAGUGGGGAAUAUUGCACAAUGGGCGGAAGCCUGAUGCAGCAACGCCGCGUGCGGGAUGACGGCCUUCGGGUUGUAAACCGCUUUCGCCUGUGGCGAAGCGUGAGUGACGGUAAUGGGUAAAGAAGCACCGGCUAACUACGUG